CACGUAGGGUGCGAGCGUUUGUCCGGAAUUAUUGGGCGUAAAGAGCUCGUAGGCGGUUUGUCGCGUCUGCUGUGAAAACCCGAGGCUCAACCUCGGGCCGCAGUGGGUACGGGCAGACUAGAGUGCGGUAGGGGAGAUUGGAAUUCCUGGUGUAGCGGUGAAAUGCGCAGAUAUCAGGAAGAACACCAAUGGCGAAGGCAGCUCUCUGGGACGGUACUGACGCUGAGACGCGAAAAGCGUGGGGGAGCGAACAGG
rnacentral:rRNA from 1 species